AUGGAGGGACAAAGUUGUCUUUGUCUCAUCUUCUUUCUUUUUUUCAUUUUUUUUGCUGACCCGAAAAAUGAUCCGAUCCGUGACUCAAAUCCGUGAUCCGAUUCGAACUGUGCUGAGUUUGACGUGAACCAUCUGAGAGAGAAGCUAAUGUUCUGUGAGAGAGCACCAGUUGUAAUUGAUUACAUACACUCUAAAGAAACAAGGAGACAUCAUUCAAGAGUUUCCUUGAACGGACCAGCACAGCGAAUAGAGCAACACCACAGGGUCACUAAUGUUACAGACAGUGCUGUGUUUGGUUUGUGUUUUUGCCUUUAAGAACUCAGUGUCCAGUUGCCGUAGGGUUGGGUUGUGCUUGUGUGUGUUCUGCAAUAAAGUGGCUGGAGUUCCUCA